rnacentral:rRNA from 1 species
CCUCCUCCUCUUUCCCCCCUUCUUCCCUCUUUUUUCCCUUUCUUCUUGGGUCUAAAGGGUCCGUAGCCGGUUUGGUCAGUCCUCCGGGAAAUCUGAUAGCUUAACUGUUAGGCUUUCGGGGGAUACUGCCAGGCUUGGAACCGGGAGAGGUAAGAGGUACUACAGGGGUAGGAGUGAAAUCUUGUAAUCCCUGUGAGACCACCUGUGGCGAAGGCGUCUUACCAGAACGGGUUCGACGGUGAGGGACGAAAGCUGGGGGCACGAACCGGAUUAGAUACCCGGGUAGUCCCAGCCGUAAACUAUGCUCGCUAGGUGUCAGGCAUGGCGCGACCGUGUCUGGUGCCGCAGGGAAGCCGUGAAGCGAGCCACCUGGGAAGUACGGCCGCAAGGCUGAAACUUAAAGGAAUUGGCGGGGGAGCACAACAACGGGUGGAGCCUGCGGUUUAAUUGGACUCAACGCCGGACAACUCACCGGGAACGACAGCAAUAUGUAGGCCAGGCUGAAGACCUUGCCUGAAUCGCUGAGAGGAGGUGCAUGGCC